ACUCCUACGGGAGGCAGCAGUGAGGAAUAUUGGACAAUGGGCGGGAGCCUGAUCCAGCCAUGCCGCGUGCAGGAAGACUGCCCUAUGGGUUGUAAACUGCUUUUGUACAGGAAGAAACACUCCCUCGUGAGGAGCUUGGACGGUACUGUAAGAAUAAGGAUCGGCUAACUCCGUGCCAGCAGCCGCGGUAAUACGGAGGAUCCAAGCGUUAUCCGGAAUCAUUGGGUUUAAAGGGUCCGUAGGUGGAUGAUUAAGUCAGAGGUGAAAUCCUGCAGCUCAACUGUAGAAUUGCCUUUGAUACUGGUUGUCUUGAAUUAUUGUGAAGUAGUUAGAAUAUGUGGUGUAGCGGUGAAAUGCAUAGAUAUCACAUAGAAUACCGAUUGCGAAGGCAGAUUACUAACAAUACAUUGACACUGAUGGACGAAAGCGUGGGGAGCGAAACAGGAUUAGAUACCCU
rnacentral:rRNA from 1 species